UACGUAGGGUGCAAGCGUUGUCCGGAAUUAUUGGGCGUAAAGAGCUCGUAGGCGGCUUGUCGCGUCGGCUGUGAAAACCUGGGGCUCAACCCCGGGCCUGCAGCCGAUACGGGCAAGCUAGAAUUCGGUAGGGGAGACUGGAAUUCCUGGUGUAGCGGUGAAAUGCGCAGAUAUCAGGAGGAACACCGGUGGCGAAGGCGGUUGCCUGGAGCUUUGCUGACGCUGAUGCGCGAAAGCGUGGGGAGCGAUCCGG
rnacentral:rRNA from 1 species